rfam:Manacus vitellinus contig28283, whole genome shotgun sequence.
CCCCUGGCGGUCUAGUGGUUGGGAUGCGGCGCUCUCACCGCUGCGGCCUGGGUUCGAUUCCCGGUCAGGGAA